UAGGGAAUCUUCGGCAAUGGACGAAAGUCUGACCGAGCAACGCCGCGUGAGUGAAGAAGGUUUUCGGAUCGUAAAACUCUGUUGUUAGAGAAGAACAAGGACGUUAGUAACUGAACGUCCCCUGAUGGUAUCUAACCAGAAAGCCACGGCUAACUACGUGCCAGCAGCCGCGGUAAUACGUAGGUGGCAAGCGUUGUCCGGAUUUAUUGGGCGUAAAGCGAGCGCAGGCGGUUUCUUAAGUCUGAUGUGAAAGCCCCCGGCUCAACCGGGGAGGGUCAUUGGAAACUGGGAGACUUAAGUGCAGAAGAGGAGAGUGGAAUUCCAUGUGUAGCGGUGAAAUGCGUAGAUAUAUGGAGGAACACCAGUGGCGAAGGCGGCUCUCUGGUCUGUAACUGACGCUGAGGCUCGAAAGCGUGGGGAGCAAACAGG
rnacentral:rRNA from 1 species